AGCCUAAACCUCUAAACAGGCAUGGCACUUUUUAACCACACCAAUGCAGAGACGGUCUUCCGUUUCACUAGCCAUUGGUGUGGUCAUAAGCCGAAAGGUUUAUGGGUAGAUUCCGAAAGGACUACC
rnacentral:sRNA from 1 species